rnacentral:rRNA from 1 species
AUUGAACGCUGGCGGCAUGCUUUACACAUGCAAGUCGAACGGUAACAGGCCUUCGGGCGCUGACGAGUGGCGAACGGGUGAGUAAUGCAUCGGAACGUGCCCAGAGGUGGGGGAUAACGCAGCGAAAGUUGUGCUAAUACCGCAUAUUAUCUGAGGAUGAAAGCGGGGGACUAAGCAGCAAUGUUUGGCCUCGCGCCUUUGGAGCGGCCGAUGUCAGAUUAGGUAGUUGGUGGGGUAAAGGCCUACCAAGCCGACGAUCUGUAGCUGGUCUGAGAGGACGACCAGCCACACUGGGACUGAGACACGGCCCAGACUCCUACGGGAGGCAGCAGUGGGGAAUAUUGGGCAAUGGUCGGAAGACUGACCCAGCCAUGCCGCGUGCAGGAAGACGGCCCUCUGGGUUGUAAACUGCUUUUAUCUGGGAAGAAAAAGGCCAUGCGUGGCAAAUUGCCGGUACCAGAUGAAUAAGC